AACGAACGCUGGCGGCAGGCCUAACACAUGCAAGUCGAACGAUGUAGCAAUACAUAGUGGCGCACGGGUGAGUAACGCGUGGGAAUGUACCAUUUGGUGGGGAAUAACUCCGGGAAACUGGAGCUAAUACCGCAUACGCCCUUCGGGGGAAAGAUUUAUCGCCAAAUGAUCAGCCCGCGUGAGAUUAGAUAGUUGGUGGGGUAAUGGCCUACCAAGUCGACGAUCUCUAGCUGGUCUUAGAGGAUGACCAGCCACACUGGAACUGAGACACGGUCCAGACUCCUACGGGAGGCAGCAGUGGGGAAUAUUGGGCAAUGGACGAAAGUCUGACCCAGCCAUGCCGCGUGAGUGAUGAAGGCUCUAGGGUUGUAAAGCUCUUUCGCCGAUGAAGAUAAUGACGGUAGUCGGAGAAGAAGCCCCGGCUAACUUCGUGCCAGCAGCCGCCGCAG
rnacentral:rRNA from 1 species